GAUGAACGCUGGCGGCGUGCCUAAUACAUGCAAGUCGAGCGAACUGAUUAGAAGCUUGCUUCUAUGACGUUAGCGGCGGACGGGUGAGUAACACGUGGGCAACCUGCCUGUAAGACUGGGAUAACUUCGGGAAACCAAAGCUAAUACCGGAUAGGAUCUUCUCCUUCAUGGGAGAUGAUUGAAAGAUGGUUUCGGCUAUCACUUACAGAUGGGCCCGCGGUGCAUUAGCUAGUUGGUGAGGUAACGGCUCACCAAGGCAACGAUGCAUAGCCGGCCUGAGAGGGGGAUGGGCCACACUGGGACUGAGACACGGCCCAGAGUCCAACGAGAGGCAGCAGUAGGGAAUCUUCCGCAAUGGACAAAAGUCUGACGGAGCAACGACGCGGGAGUGAUGAAGGCUUUCGGGUCGUAAAACUCUGUUGUUAGGGAAGAACAAGUACAAGAGUAACUGCUUGUACCUUGACGGUACUUAACCAGAAAGCCACGGCUAACUACGUGCCAGCCGCCGCUGUAAUAC
rnacentral:rRNA from 1 species